AUGUUUUGUCUUUUUCCAAAAAGGGGAGCAUUUUGGUCAUUAAGUACUUAAAAGGAGCUCUAAGUGUCUUUUUCUCUAAAACAAAUGUAGCACAUAUUGCAGUCAAUCGGGAAAUAUGCCUAAUCACUUCGAGUCUUGAACAAAGUAAAUACUGUAUUGAUGAUACAAUUAUACUUUGCACCUUGAUAAAGGCUCUCCUGCCCUUGUGCUUGUUUAUUGGACACGAAUUGACAAAAGAAUCUUAUUUCAACUUGCGUCUUUUAUAGCUCCUCGAGUGCUAGAUGUAUCCCCACUUAAUCUUGAAUAGGGAUUAUCAUGCUCCAUUAUUACCUUUAAGAUUUAUGAUAGCAAGCUCUUGUUCAACAAAUUCACCUGCACAAAUGGGAGGAUACUUGCUUGCAAGAGGAGUGUCUGAAAAAUGCCCUAAAGGUUUUAGCACAGCAUCUGAUGCUAUGUGUGCGAAUAGC
rnacentral:lncRNA from 1 species